AUUGAACGCUGGCGGCAGGCCUAACACAUGCAAGUCGAGCGGAUGAAGGGAGCUUGCUCCUGGAUUCAGCGGCGGACGGGUGAGUAAUGCCUAGGAAUCUGCCUGGUAGUGUGGGAUAACGUCCGGAAACGGGCGCUAAUACCGCAUACGUCCUGAGGGAGAAAGUGGGGGAUCUUCGGACCUCACGCUAUCAUAUUAGCCUAGGUCGGAUUAGCUAGUUGGUGUGGUAAAGGCCUACCAAGGCGACGAUCCGUAACUGGUAUGAGAGGAUGAUCAGUCACACUGGAACUGAGACACGGACAAGAAGACUACGGGAGGCAGCAGUGGGGAAUAUUGGACAAUGGGCGAAAGCAUGAUAAAGCAAUGCCGCGUGUGUGAAGAAGGUCUACGGAUUGUAAAGAACUUUAAGUUGGGAGGAAGGGAAGUAAGUUAAUAACUUGAUGUUUUGACGUUACCAACAGAAUAAGCACCGGCUAACUUCGUG
rnacentral:rRNA from 1 species